rnacentral:lncRNA from 1 species
CCCGCGGCGGAGCUCCGGACACUUGCGGGUGAGUGAGGGCCGGGUGAGCAGCAGACUGGGGGGUUUACUCGCCUGAGGCGAGAGGGAGUGUGGGGAGGCUUCUGCCAGGGCACGGGACGGAAUUGGGGUUUGUUCCCUGGUGAUCCCAGGCUUGGAGGGCUUUUUUGAAAAGACCUGGGAAAUCGUAGCCUCAGAACCUGCCGCUAUGUUCUGCCAUCCCUCUUCUCACUGGAGAGUCGCCAGGAGCCUGACCCUGGAAGUCUCGCUCUCUCGGCGCCGCCAUGGGCAGAGCUUGGGAAGACCGUGAGGAGCACGUGUCGGGUGGAACUGGGGCAGCCUCUGCAACCAGAGGCCCCGAAAGAGGCAGUCUAGUUUGAGAUUCGUGGUUUUUGUUUGGUUUGGUAUUGGGGAUUGAAGCCGGGACGCUUUAAAUUUUUUUAAAAUUUUGAGACAGAGUUGCUUAGGGACUUGCUAAGUUGCUGAGGCUGGCCUCGAAUUUGUAGUCCUUCUGUGUACCCCCCCACUUCCCCCAUGACUGGCUUCCGCCACUGCGCCCACCUAGGUUCCUUUUCAGACCCCAACAUUGAGUUUUCCAUGCAUUCCUGUUUCUCCCGAGGAGGUUAGAUGUGAAAUUGAGAAUGGCUGGAAAAAAGGUAUGGACUUAGAUAAACUCACUUUAUAAAAACAAAUUAUAAUGGCGAGCGUGUAGAAAUAUUUGUUAACAUCUUUGCAAACAUCUGUUUUAUGUGGUACUAGGCAACUGGGAUUGAACCCAGGGAUCCUUAACCACAGAGCCACAUCCCCAGCUUUCCAAUUUAUUUUUAUUUAUUGAGAAAGAUUCUCACUAAAUUGCUGAGUCUGCCUUGAACUUGGGAUACUUCUGCCCCAGCCUCCCCAUCAGUCUCUGGGAUUACAGGCCUGGGGAGCACCAUUGUACCUAGCCAGCCUUUCUAGUUUUCACUGCCCAUUCUUCCUGGACAACCUUCCCUUACUCAUAAUGUUAGGGUACAAACAUUUGUGAAUGGUAGGAACAUGAGGUUAGGGAAUAACUAUAAAAUGAGUCAACUGGCCAGGCAUGGUGGUGCACAACUGUAAUCCCAGCUCCUCAGGAGGAUUGGGAGUUCAAAGACAGCCUCAGCAAUGGCGAGGCACUAAGCAACUCAGUGAGAUCCUCUCUCUAAAUAAAAUGCAAAAUGGGGCUGGGAAUGUGAGUCAGUGGUUGAAAGUCUGAUGUCAUAUUGCCGACGGUUAAAAGUCAAGAGGUGGGCUGGGGAUGUGGCUCAAGCAGUAGCACGCUCACCUGGCAUACGUGCGGCCCGGGUUCGAUCCUCAGCACCACAUACAAACAAAGAUGUUGUGUCCGCUGAAAACUAAAAAAUAAAUAUUAAUAUCCCCCCCUCUCUUUAAAAAAAUAAAUAAAUAAAAAAUAAAAGUCAAGAGGUGAACCUGGGCAGGAUUCUCUGAGAUCCCCAAUAAAACUGGAGUGUAGGAGAGGCGCACUGUCCCUCUCUGAGUGAAUCCACUCUCCCUUGAGGGUGUCCCCUUUCCCUGUCCUUUCAAUAAACUCACUCCUAUUGCUGAGCAAUAUAUCUGAAAUCUCUCUGACUUGAUUGGGGGUUUGAAGUGGGGUGGACUUUGCACUACCUCAGUUUCUCAGAGGCCCUAGAUCUCUCUUUUUUUUUUUUUUAAAGAGGGUGAGAGAGAAAUUUUUUUUAAUAUUUAUAUUUUGGUUUUCGGCAGACACAACAUCUUUGAAUGUGGUGCUGAGGAUCGAACCUGGGCUGCACGCAUGCCAGGUGAGCGCGCUGCCGCUUGAGCCACAUCCCCAGCCCAAUCCUAGAUCUCUUCCUGAAAGGUAAGUUCUACAUAUCCUGUGGGUUUAACCUAUAUUCCAUUUAAAUCUAUGUGCAAAGCACUGUUAAUAAUAUCCCCAUUCUCCAAAUGAGGAGACUGAGGUUCAAAGUUACUUGCCCAGUGUGGUUUGGCAUCAGGUGGAAGAGCCAUGUUCUCUGAUAAUUGUUGACUGGGCCAUUAUUUUGGUUGCUGCUGAACUGCUGUGGUACAUUAGUAAAUAUGAUUUGAGCCAGGCAUAGUGGCACACACCUGAAAUCCCAACAGCACUUGAAACUGAAGAAGGAAGAUUCCAAGUUUGAAGUCAGCUUCAGCAACUUAGAUCCUGUGUAAAAAUAAAAGGGCUGGGGAUGUAACUCAGUGGUAGAGCAUUCCAGUUGCACACACAAAAUAAUAAUUUUAAAUAAUGUGAAAACAAAGCUAACCAGGGAUAGGCUGUUUUGUUGUCCACCUUUGCUCUGGCCUCUUAAGUUACAGGGCCUCUAAUCUGCACACGUGUUCACUAACUGUUGGCUGACUAUAACUUGGUUUGUUUUGAUUGCAGAGUGGCCAGCUAUGGACUUAAGGCAGAUAUGACCCCUGGUAAGAAUAAUACCAUUGUCCUCCUUUGGCCCCAGCUGUAGGCAGCUGCCUAGGUUGCCUUGUACCUAGGCAAGUGUUACACUGCUGGGAGAACAACAGCCAAUAGCUGGUUGGCAUUCUGGUCUCGGUUCAUGCUGACCCUGUACUGUUAACUAUACCAGGAUGUCAGCAUAAUUGUUUAUACAUCAAGGUUAAAUCUGUAAGCAUGAUAUUUUGCAGGGAGAAACCUGAAAUCCAGACCUUCCUAUGUAGGUACUGGUCUAACAGGUUUGGCUAGUAUUAAGUUGCUUGACUCAUACCUUGGAAAUAAAAUGCAAGUAAUCCAGCCAGGGAGGGAUAUGUAAAUAGAGGGGGAAGUCACAUUUAAUUUUUUAGUGCCUGUGAAGUAUUCAAAAGUACUUGUGACCCCAGGUGAGUAUAACACAAUAGUCCUUUGGUCUCAGCUGUAGGCUGUAACCUUGUACCUAAGCAAGUGAUGCAGGACAGAAGUCAAUGAAAAUUUUACUGAUUUCACUAAAUCAAAGCAAAAACCCAUGCAUGAAAAUAUUGCCAGGCAUGGUGACACACCAGUAAUUCAGCUACUUAGGUUCAGGCAGAAAGAUAGUGAGUUCAGGCCAGUCUGAGCAAACUAAUGAGAUCCCAUCUCAAAAAGAAAAAAAAAUUGAGGGGCUCUGGGAACUAGUAAUAAUUUAUAGAGUUAUAGAGUUGUUGUCCCUUUAUAGAGUAGUUAAGUAUUGAAUCCCUUCAAAGUGUUUUCUCAGAAGAGAUGCCUCCCCUGGGCAAACAUCACAUAGGGUGAUUCUGGGAUUGUCCAAUAAAGCUGAUUUAGUUACUGCUUCUGUGAAAAGUAACAUCCUAAUUUCCACAUGAGGAACUGGUGAGGAUGUUUGGGAGAGGGAAGCUAAGUUAUCAAAGCUUGUUUUGUUCCAUCAGUUGGCUUUCCCUUAAAGGAUUCUCCAACUAAAUGCUGAGGAUUUGUGUGACUGCCUCAAAUGUUUAUCAUGAAUAGCCUUUUAGAUAUGGGAUCUUAAGACUAGAGACAUGGGGGAUGGUUAGCUUUAUGGCACUCAUAGGCAGGAAAAGCAAAUAAUGGGAGAUAAAAAUAAUUCUUAAGGUAUAGACAACAUGAUAAAUCAUAAAUGGCAGGCAAUAUUGUUGGUUUGUUCAAAGUAAGAGGAUACAAGUGGCUUAGCUUGGAGUAGAGUAUCAUUGAUAACCAGUUUGCACAGCAGCUUGAUGAUAUGACCACUUCAACACACAAAAUCAUCAGCAAGCUGUCACUAUAUCCUUGGCACCAACAGAACAUCAGGAAUAAACUCCUGUACCCUCACCCUGCACUUCCCACCUUAGUGCAGGCUUGAGUGUACACCUAGAUUUGAUUGGCCCAAAGUUAGCCCACGCAUGCUCUUUUUCAAAUAUAUACACCUAAAUUUUAUAUAUAUAUAUAAAUUUAUUUAUAUGUAGUGCUGAGGGUUGAACCCAGGGCCUCACACAUGCUAGGCGAGCGCUGUACCGCUGAGCCACAACCCCAGCCCAUACGCCUAAAUUUGAUUGGUUUGGGAAACAACCAAAAAGGGAGAAACCUUAUAAGGAAACUUAGGCAACUUUCAGGAAGAUUAUAACCCCAUAGUACUCGGCCUGUGAGGAACCAGGGGAGGGAAACUGCAUUUUAGGGAAUAAAAUGCUCUAUGUAACUGUUCUAGGGGUGCAUGGUCACCAGACACUGGAUCUUGCAAGACUUGCCAUUAGAGCCUCACUUUUGUACCUCCUGUCUCUGAGUCCAUUCUUUGGCAUUGGGCGGCAGGUGAGUGAAUUUCUCAUUAGCAAUUUUGAAAUGUAUAAGGCAUUGUUAUUAUAGUCACUAUUAUGUAUAAUAGAUCAUUAAAUCUUACUUGCCUGCCUUUUUAGGAUGACUUGAAAUUGUGAUAUUCUUUACCCUCCAGAAGAGAGGAAAUAGUGAUGGGUGGACAGUGUACAUGUGGAGUUUUCAGAUAAAUAUCCCUGUUCAUUCUAGAGUUGUUGACCUCCUAUGUGCCAGGCAUGGUGGCACAUACCUAUAAUCUCAGUCUCCAAAGGCUGAGGCAAGAGGAUUGCAAGUUGGAGGCUAGCCUCAGCGAUUUUGCAAGUCCCAAAGCAACUUACUGAGACCCUGUCUCAAAUUAAAAAUAAAAAGGGCUGCGGAUAUAACUCAGUGGUCAAUUGCCCCUGGGUUCAAUCUCCAGUACAGAAAGAAAGAGAAAUAAUUGGGAUGAAAUUCACUGUUUGCUCUCAAUAAAUUCAGUCUCCAAGCAAUUAAAGUAGGAUUUUGGUGGUUUGGGUGAAAAUAUGUAGGACCUUGCAGAUUCGCUGUGUCACUCCAUCUGGGGUAUUUACAAGGAGAUUGUAAAUUUUUUGAGGGAAAGGGUAGUGUAUCUUCCGUUCACUGCUAGAUCCCAAUUUCAGCCCCUAGCACAUGGCAGGAACUCCUUGAAUGUUGGGUAAAAUACCCCAAAGCAGGCUGGGGUUAUUGCUCAGAGGUAGAGCCUUUGCCUGGUGUGUGCGAGGCUCUGGGUUCAAUCCUCAGCACCACAUAAAAAUAAAUAAAGGCAUUGUGUCCAGCUACAACUAAAAAAAUGAAUUUUUUUUUUUAAAAAAGCAUGGAAAAUACUUCCUUUCCUACUUCCAGCUACUACUGAUACUGUAACUCUGUCUUCUAUGAGGGUGGAGGCUGUAAGGAUGAGAAAUUUGUUUCAGAAACAAUCCAGCGGUUGUCAGCUAUCCAGGCUAGUGUGGUGCCUGUGAUUGUGUUACACUGUUGGAAGAGCAAGCACUGUCUUUAUUGAGGUUUGGCUCCAAGCACUGUUUUGGUGUUGUAGCUAAGUACCUUCAGGCAGUGUUCUGCACCUCUGAGAGUGGAAUGACUUCUCCUGUGGAGUUGGUCCUAGUCUGGGUGCAAACAAAAGUACCCUGGGGCUGGGAAUGUUAGCUCAGUGCUAGAGCACUUGCCUAACAUGUGCAGGGCCUCAGCACCCAAGGGAUAGUCUUAAAGGAAAACAUGUCAUCCUUUACCUUUGAAUCCUAGAUACUUUAACCUGAAUGAGAAUGAGAAACCUGUCUUCAUCAGGACCUCAGACAUCUAACAGCUUUGUGCACACCAAGACAAGUAAUGUAUAUAGUCCUUCUUGUUAUAUAUUUCAGCUCAGAUGGGUGGAAGAGCUUAAAAUUAUGGAGGGAAUUGGGGUUGUGGCUCAGUGGUAGAGUACUUGCCUACUAUGUGUGAGGCACUGGGUAGAGACAAAUGCUUAAAAUCCAACUGUCAUUUUUUUAGAGCUGUGCUGUACAAUACAUAUGGCUAGUUAAGUUGUAAAAAUGAAAUAAACCAGUUUUUCAAUCUCAGUAUCUGUUUGACUAGUGACUACCAUAUUGGACAGCUAGGACAUUUCACCAGUACAAAAAGUUUAUUGUAUACUCUUAGAGCAGAGAUCUGCAAACAUCCUGAAAUGGGCCAGAUCAUAAAUAUUUUAGGCUUGUGCAGCCAUGUGGUCUUUGUAACUAUGCAAUUGUAGUGUGAAAGCAACCUUAGUAUGUCAACAAAAAAACAUGGCUAUGUUUCAGCAAAUUUUAUUUAUGAGCACUGGACUUGGAAUUUCAUAAAAAUCGAGUGUCACAUUUUUUCCAUUCUUAUUUUUGGGGGCCAUUCAAAAACAGGUUACACCGGGUGUGGUGGCUUGGGGGGCCUUAACAGGGCUGGGGAUGUGGCUCAAUGGCCCCUGGGUUCACUCCCUGGAACACCCCCACCCACCCUUAAAAAAAUAAUUUUAAAAAUUAGGUUGUAGCCUAGACAUGCACAGUUUCAGCUACUCAGGAUACUGAGGCAAGAGGAUUGCAAAUUCAAGAUCAGUCUGGGCAACUUGGUAAGACUGCCUCAAAAAAAUAAAAAGGGCUGAGGAUAUAGCUCAAGUGAUAAAGUAUCCUGGGUUUAAUUCCUAGUACCACAGACAACAAAACCCUGUAGGCCGGGCUGGGGAUGUGGCUCAAGCGGUAGCGCAUUCGCCUGCCAUGCAUGUGGCCCGGGCUCCAUCCUGAGCACCACAUACAAACAAAGAUGUGUCCACCAAAAACUAAAAUAAAUAAAUAAAUAAAUCUUAAAAUUAAAAAAAAACAACCACACUGUAGGCCGAAAGCUAGAAUUGGCCUGUGGGAUAUGGUUUGGUGACCCUGUUCUGUAGAUUAUUUGGGCCUUGAAUCAAAUAGCUCAUUAGUUCAGCGUUACCAGUGUGUCCCACUUAAAAUUCCGUGUUAACAGUACUUUUUUCCCUAUAUCCAUACACUCUUUUUUCAUCUCUUAGAGGUAACUGAAGUAAAUUAGUUCUUGUUUCUUUUGAUGGGAAUUGUUUGCUGGGCAUACUUUUAUCAUAGUGGUUCUCUCCGUUUUUAAUGCACAUCUUGGGGAGAUCUUAAGAAAGAAAAUAGCCAGCAGAGCCUUUGAUCAUGAACUUUGUCCUAGGUAGUGAAACAGAAAAAGAAAAUUUUAUGUCAUUGGUAGCUCCAUGGGAUUUGGGUGGUUUUUGUUGUUGAUGGGGGUGGGGAUCCUGGGGAUUGAACCUAGGGCUGUGCUCUGCCCCUGAGCUAUUAGUCCUCUGUAGGCCUUUAAAUCUGGGGUCUCAAUUCCUGACCACAGAUAGGGCUACCCUUGUACAGAGAAGAGGAGAGGUUCCUAAGUCACCACUUAAAAAGGGAUAAUUUGGUGUUUGUGGACCUAUAAUAAUAUCCCAAGAGGUUUCAAUGACAUAAAAUCAUGCACAGAUUUCCUAAUUGAUAACAGUUGUUUCUCUUUUUUUUCCAGCAAAUUUAUGUCCUGUUGUCUUAAGAAGAUGAAGUAAAAUAUUUGAAUAGUUUUGCGGGGGGGGGGGGGGUUGUUUUUUAAAUCCCUUUCUUUUCUCUUUUUAUUCUUUUCCCAUGCUUCAAUGGACAGUGGAAUUAGAUUGCCAGGGUUGUUGGUCUGUGAAUAUCCAAGCUGCUAUUAUAACCUAUAUUAUCUAUAUUUAUUGCUACCUAUAACACAAGCUGUUAUAGGUAGCAAUAAACACAAGUACUGGCCAGGUUUUAGGUCCCAAACCUGUACCAUAUUAAGAGGUAAGUAGGGGACUAUAAUAAGUGUUAUCUCAGACACCUAUCAUUAUUUUAUGUUCUUCUUGCUAAGUUCAAAGAAACUAAUGAAAGUGGUUUUCUGGGGUUUUUUUACAUUGAAAUUUUGGAUCCUGUCUCAAAUUUCAAUGGGGAAAACAAAGCCCAGAGGGGUAACUCUGUAAGCCUCAAAGGGAUGCAAAAAGGUGGCUGAGUACCUAGGAAUUCACACAAAGGAAAACAACCAGCUAAGAGCAAUUAAUUAAGAACUUGAAAAGAAUGAGAAUGACUCCUGUGAAUCUUAUUGCUUAAUUAGGGCUUUAUGAGCAGCUCUAGUUAAUGGACUUGUCAAUAUACACAAUUUCACUGAAUUAACAAAUUAAUUGUAAUACUUAAAAUCAUGUUUCUACUGACUACUAUUUAGGAGUAUAUAUAAAGCCAACUUGCUGGGUUAUAUAUUUGUCAUUUCUGUAGCCUACGGCCUGAUUCAAAGGAACCCUUAUUUGGCCUUCCUUGUCCUUCAGUAAAGCUCCUUUGAGGUGAGAGUGUUCCCUGCUGCAUGUUAAGGGUAACUUUACUACUCCUCAGGAAAAGGGUAACAUCAUGGACAUGGAAUGGAAUUUAUUUUAGAAUACUUCCAGUGAAGCACAUCCAUUUUCCCCUAAAAACAUCUUACAUUAGUGUGUUAUGAUUGUCGAAAUGAAUAGGCUAAUAUUGAUUCAUUAGUAUUUAAGUCAAUAUUUUAUUUAGGUUUUCUUAGUUUUUUUUUUUUUUUUGUUUUUGUUUUUUUUUUUGUGGUACUGGACAUCAAAUUCAGGACCCUGAGCAAGCUAAGCACGUAUUCUUCCACUGAGUUAUACCUACAGUUCCUCUGAAGUUUUUUUUUUUUUUUUUUUAACCUAAAGUCCUUUUGUUUUAGGAUCCCAGUAAGUAUGCCAUAUUACAGGGCUGGGGGUGUAGCUCAAUGGUAGCAUGCUUGCCUACAACAUGUGAGACACUGGAUACAAUCCUUAGCACUACAUUUUUUAAAAAGGUAUUGUGUCCAUCUACUACUAAAAAUAUUAAAAAAGAAUAUCACAUUACAUUUAGGUUGUCAUGCUUCUCUUGGAAAUACAGUGUUUAUCAGCUGAAAAUAUUUUUUUAAUAUUUAUAUUUUAGUUUUUGGUGGACACAACAUUUUCAUGUGGUGCUAAGGAUCGAACCCAGUGCCCCGCACAUGCCAGGCAAGCGCGUCACUGCUUGAGCCACAUCCCCAGCCCAGCUGAAAAUAUUUUAAUCAGGGUAGUAAAUAAUCAGUUUGAAGGUAAAUGAUAAUUACAGUUAUCUGUUCUAAUUAAAAGGGCAUUUAUAAGAAUCCUAAUAAAAAUUAAAGCUAUUUUACUCUAAUAUUCUUAUGGGAAAAUAAUCUGUAAAAUUAGUCACAACAUUACAAACAGAAUGAAAUACAUAUCAAUUGAGCAGAUAAGGAAGUCCAAAAUUAGGCAUUAAGAUACUGUGAAGUUUUUAAUUGUUCAUGGACCUUUAUUCAUUUCUUUGUAUGCAGGGCUGAGAAUUGAACCCAGUGCCUCACAUAUGUGAGGCAAGCACUCUACUAUUGAGCCGUGAUCCCAGCCUUAACUUCGGAGUUUAAAAAAAAAAUGCUGGGGUUGUGGCUGAGUGGUAGAGCGCUUGCCUGGCAUUUGUGAGGAAUAUGUUUAAAAACAAUAUGACAAUGUUGGGACAACUUGAUAACUGUGUGAGGAAAAAAAAUCCCGUUGAAAUUUUGUGGCACAGAUUUAUAUACAGAAAUUAAAUUUGAGAAGAACAAAGAAAGUGCCUUUUUUAAAAAUAUACUCUUACAGUAAGUUUGCCUUCUAAGUUAAAAACAAAAUGAAUGGUAAAUGACUAGAUUAUUGCAAAUUCUGUAUAAAAAAAUAACUGGAGACACAAACUGGUAAAGAUGUUUGCCAAUUGUUGCUUAUUUGUUUUUGUACUGGGGAUUGAACCCAGGAGUUCUUCUCAGUCACUCUAAGUCAAAUAUAACAACCCAACAUGUCUACAAAAGAAAUAAGCAGCAAGUUUGUUAACUUAAAAAAAGCACAUUUGGGGCUGGGGUUGUGGCUCAGUGAGUGGAGUACUCCCCUAGACAUGAGGCUCUGGGUUUGAUCCUCACCACCACAUAAAAAGAAUGGUGUGUGUGUAUGGUGCUAGGGAUUGAGCCCAUGGCCUUGUGCAUGGGAGGCUAGAAGAUGCUAUGUUUUUUAAAAAAGUGCACAUUUGCUUAGGCAAUAGUGCUGACUAUCCACCAAAUACCUGAGAUAGUCAACUUGGAAAAUGCUGGGCUGGAGCAUUUGCCUUGUAUGGCUCUGUGUUUGAUUACUAGCAUCACCAAAAGUUUAUUUUGGUUCAGCUUUAGAGAUGUUAAUUCAAUCCAUGAUUGAGUCACUCUAUGCUUUGGGCCUAUGGUGAAAAAUACUUCAUAACCACAAAGUAUAAAGGAGGAAGGGACCCCUGUCCAAAUGUCUCUUUCAGGACAUGCCUACAUUGACCUGAAAACACCUAUUGGUAAUGUCAAUAUGGUGACCAAGCCUUUAAUUCAUGAGUCCAAAUUUUGGCACCAAUCCCAAUGUGAUUAAAAUAUGAUGUGAAAAUUAUAUGAAAUUCUGGGGCCAGGAAUGUAGCCUAGUGGAGCAUGUUCUUAUUUCACAUUUCUGGAACAAUAUGUAUGUGAAGUAGUUUUUAUGUAUGGAAAGUGUAGAAUAUAUAAGAAGUGGUUGAUAAUAGUUGCCUUUUUUAAUGUAGGGGAAUAGAGGUUGUCAGGAAGGUGGUCAAAUAGGACCGUAGGGGUCUCAUUGCCUUACAAAAAUUAACAGACCUAUAUCAUUCAUCCUCUAACCCCAGACAGCACACUUCAUAUAAUUUUGGAAGGAGUGAAGUUUGCAGAUUUUCAUUGGACCCCAAUAAUACCCUACUGCAAACCUUGGUAAAGUUCACAAAGUGCACAGGGCCCUGGGUUCAAUCCCCAGCACCACAGAAAGUAGGCUUUAGGUUCACAUCUGAAGGGUACAAGCUUAGCUCACCUACAGAUUUACACUAUGUGGCAUUACCACAAUGUCUGGAUAAGCUAGCAGGUGAAGGGCUUCUCAUCUGAGUCCACUCAAAAAUGCGCAAUACCGGGGCUGGGAUUGUGGCUCAGCAGUAGAGCGCUCUUCUAGCACGUAUGAGGCUCUGGGUUUGAUCCUCAGCAUCACAUAAGAAUGAAAUAAAGAUGUGUCCAACUACAAUUAAAAUUUUUUAAAAAUGUUUAAAAAAUAUUUUUUCUUAAAAAUGUACAACACCAACACAAUAGCCAUAGGGGUCAUUAACAGCCAGGAAACAUGAGCCUACCAAAUGAAGUAUCCCCUGUUCCAGAGUAAUGGAGAUUUACAAGUUGCCUAGGAAUUCAAAAUAAGCUUGAGAUGAUCCAAAUUCUGGACCUGAAGAACACAGUGUCUAUUUCUACCAACCUGUACUCCCUAGCACUUGGGAGACUAAGGCAAGAGGAUUGUGUGUGGCUAACCUACAAAGGACUUAUCUUGAAAAUGACAGGAUGAAAAUGGUAUGUAAGCAAGCAGAAGGCCCUAUAUUCAAUCCCCAGUACCAUAAAAAUAAACUGAAUUUUUCAUAAAGAGCUUCAGCAGACUCCAAGAUGAUGAAUCCUGGAAUGGUGUUAUCUUGGGAGGCUUAGGCAAGAUGGUCCCUUAAGGCCAGCCAGGGCAAUAAUAAGAUCCCAUCUCAGUCAUUUGAAAUUCCUACCUAGGGGAAGUAAAAGCCUGAGACUUAUCAGAUAACAAACAAAUGAAUAUGCAUUGUGGGUGCUUUGGAAGAAGCAAAAUGAAAGUUGCAGGUUUUCGUUAUAAAGUUCCCAAAUUUGGAGAGGGAGAUGAAUAGAUUAAAUAUUAAGAAAUCAUUACUGAGACAAGUUGUAAUCAAGCACUCGGAAGGCAAAGCAUUGCUGGGUGUUGUCUACACUUGUAAUCACAGCAACUCUGGAGGCCGAAGCAAAAGGAUUGUAGUUCUUUCCCAGCUUUAGCAGUUUGACAAGACCCUUUCUCAAAAAGGUAUGGAGGUGCUGGUCACAUGGUAAGCACCUGUAACCCCAGUGGCUUGGGAAACUGAGGCAGAGGAUUAAGAGUUCAAAGCCAGGUUCGGCAACUUAGCAAGGCCUUAAGCAACUUUAGAAGACUGAGUCUGAAUUUUUUUUUAAAAAAAAUGUAAAAGGUCUGGGCAUAUGGCUUAGUGCUUAAGUGCCUCUGGGUUCAAUCCCUGGUACCAAAAAAAAAAGACAGUCCCAGGGCAUUCAAAUCUAUUCCAAUAGAAGAUUCUGAGGCUGAUAUUCUGCUGAAGACAAUAUUGCAUAAGCUCUGACCAUAGGCAAGCAGUCCUCCCCUCCUGACCCCUGUGCUGGGGGUCAAACCUUGUACAUGUUAAGCGCACAUUAUGGACUGGGGUUGUGGCUCAGUAGUAGAGCACUUGCCUCAUACAUGUAGAGCAGUGGGUUCAAUCCUCAGCACCACAUAAAUAAAGGUAUUGUGUCCAUCUGCAACUAAUUUAAAAACACAUUAUACUUUGUUUCCCAUUUACAAGCAAAUGCAUGGCACAUGAUAUUAGUCUCAAAUAUUGACUGCUAGCAGGGUGCAGUGGUGCACACCUGUAAUCUCAGUGACUUGGGAGGCUGAGACAGGAGGAUUUCGAGUUAAGACCCAGCCUCAGCAAUGGUGAGGCACUUAACAACUCAGUGAGACCCUGUCUCUAAAUAAAAUACAAAAUAGGGCUGGGGAUGUGGCUCAGAGGUUGGUUGAAUGCCCCUAAGUUAAAUCCCCAGUACCAAAACACAAACAAAUAUUGACUGCUAAAUGUAAAAAUGAUUGACCUUAAAGGGUAUGGAUACCAUUAUGUAAUCUUUUCUACUUUAUCUAGUUUAAUUCUUUCAAAAUUUAAGAAAAAUAUUAUUGGGCUUGGGGUGUAGCUUAAUGAUAAAAGUCCUUGCUUAGAAUACAUGAGAGCUUGGAUUUGAUCCCCAAAGUGGCGGGGAGGGUGUGGGGGUAUUUAGGGCUAAGGUGGUAGGUAGCUCAUAGAUAAAGUACAUGCUUAUUAGCAUGCACCAGGCCCUUCACUGAGUCCAGCACCAAAAACAAUUUUAUAUAUAUAUAUGUGUGUGUGUGUACAAACAUGUAUUUCUCAUGACUUCCUAUAUUUAACUAAUUUGUAUGUUUUAAUGGAUCUUGUCCUUCAUAUAUGUAUAUUUUCUUCUCAGCUCAAAUACAGAUGUUAUCUUGGCAUUAAAAGUUUCAUCAUUUUGGGCUGGGGAUGUGGCUCAAGCGGUAGCGCGCUCGCCUGGCAUGCGUGCAGCCCAGGUUCGAUCCUCAGCACCACAUACAAACAAAGAUGUUGUGUCUGCC